rnacentral:ncRNA from 1 species
UUAUGGUUUAUAAAUUUUAUUUUAAAUUUAUUUUACAUGUAAAUUUUAGUGUUAUAUAUUAAUUAUUUAAAUAAUAUUUAAUUUUAAUGCAGUAAUUAAUUUUAAAAAUUUAAGAAAUUAAGAUUUAGUAAUAUUUAAAUUAAUAACUAAUUUUGUGCCAGCAGUUGCGGUUAUACAAAAAUUAAUUUAAAAUUUUUUAGUAAUUAAUAAGUAAUGUUAAUUAAUAAUUUAAAUAAGAAAUUAUUAGGUGAAAUUUUAAUUUUUUAAAAAUUAUUUAUAUAUUAUGAUUUAAUAAAUUUUGUAAAAAACUAGGAUUAGAUACCCUAUUAUUAAAAAUUAAAUUUUUAAUACUAAAAUAGUAAAUAAUUUAUUGAAACUUAAAUAAUUUGGCGGUAUUUUAGUUUAUUUAGAGGAAUCUGUUUAAUAAUUGAUAAUCCACGAAUAAAUUUACUUAAUUUAAAAUUUUGUAUAUCGUUGUUAAAAAAAUAUUUUAUAAUAAUAAUAAUAUUUAAAAAUUUUUAUAUAAAAUGAAAUCAGAUCAAGAUGCAGAUUAUAAUUAAGAAUAUAAUGGAUUACAAUAAAUUUAUUUAAAUUGGAUUUUAAUAUGAAAAGAUUAAAUGAAAUUGGAUUUAAAUGUAAUUUUAUAAAAUUUUAUAAAAUGAUUAAUAAUUAAAAUAUGUACAUAUUGCCCGUCGCUUUCAUUUAUAAAUUGGAAUAAGUCGUAACAAAGUAGAGGUACUGGAAAGUGUUUCUAGAAAGAU